rnacentral:misc_RNA from 1 species
UGAGGCAAGGGACGAGCUUCAUAGGAUGUUGAAUGAGGAUGAACUAAGAGAGGCUGUGCUGCUUGUUUUUGCAAACAAACAAGAUCUUCCAAACGCAAUGAAUGCAGCUGAAAUCACCGACAAACUUGGACUUCAUUCUCUUCGACAGAGGCACUGGUAUAUCCAGAGUACAUGUGCCACUUCUGGAGAAGGGUUAUACGAGGGACUUGAUUGGCUAUCGAACAAUAUUUCAAACAAGGCUUAGAGCAUCAAUUAGAUUCUGCCCUCGCUUGUCGCUCGCUUACCUAUAUCUGGAGUAUAGAUGUUAAACACCGUUUGGUUAUUUUGGAUAGAAAGAAGAUCAAUUUCUGAAAAAUAUCCUGCAUUUCUUUCCCUUUUCAUGCUUUGGUUAGUUGCUACUUUGCUUGCAAUGUAAAACAUUAAUAUUGUUUUUUCGUAUCGUAGCCGGAGCUACUUUAACCCUUUUAAUUGUGUCUUCCCCGUCUCCAACACACUUCAUCUUCACCCUAGCUUCCGACCCUUGUAAUUUUGUAUAUAUAUCCAUGAAUAAAUUGAUGAUAUAAAGAAGCAUUGAUGAUAUAAAGA